rnacentral:rRNA from 1 species
AACGCGAAGAACCUUACCUGGGUUUGACAUCCUUGGACAAACGUAGAGAUACGUCUUUCGUAGCAAUACGACCAAGAGACAGGUGCUGCAUGGCUGUCGUCAGCUCGUGUGGUGACAUGUUGGGUUAAGUCCCGCAACGAGCGCAACCCCUGUCCUUAGUUGCCAGCAUUCAGUUGGGCACUCUAGGGAGACUGCCGUGGUGAACACGGAGGAAGGUGGGGAUGACGUCAAGUCCUCAUGGCCUUUAUAUCCAGGGCGACACACGUGAUACAAUGGACGGUACAGAGGGUCGCGAAGGAGCAAUCUGGAGCUAAUCCCAAAAAGCCGUUCUCAGUUCGGAUUGGAGUCUGCAACCCGACUCCAUGAAGUUGGAAUCGCUAGUAAUCGCGGAUCAGCACGCCGCGGUGAAUACGUUCCCGGGCCUUGUACACACCGGCUAC